rnacentral:misc_RNA from 1 species
GAUGAAGAACGCAGCGAAAUGCGAUACUUGGUGUGAAAUGCAGAAUCCCGUGAACCAUCGAGUCUUUGAACGCAAGUUGCGCCCGAAGCCAUUAGGCCGAGGGCACGCCUGCCUGGGCGUCACACGUCGUUGCCCCCCCCAUCUACUCCUUCGGGAUUGCGGGGGGCGGAUGAUGGCCUCCCGUGCGCCUCGCCGCGCGGUUGGCAUAAAUGCCAAGUCCUCGGCGACGCACGCCACGACAAUCGGUGGUUGCGAAACCUCGGUUGCCCGUCGUGUGCGGUCGUCGCGCAUCGAGGGCUCGAAAAAAUUGUCGGGCUCCGGCUCGGCUUUCAACGCGACCCCAGGUCAGGCGGGGUUACCCGCUGAAUUUAAGCAUAUCAAUAAGCGGAGGA